CACGUAGGAGGCAAACGUUAUCCGGAUUUACUGGGCGUAAAGCGCAUGUAGGUGGUUCUGUAAGUAGGGCGUGAAAGCUCCCGGCUCAACUGGGAGAGGCCGUUCUAAACUACAGAGCUAGAGGAUGGUAGAGGGAGGUGGAAUUCCGGGUGUAGCGGUGGAAUGCGCAGAUAUCCGGAGGAACACCAGUGGCGAAAGCGGCCUCCUGGUCCAUUCCUGACACUCAGACGCGAAAGCUAGGGUAGCAAACGGGAUUAGAUACCCGCGUAGUCCCUGA
rnacentral:rRNA from 1 species